CGUAGGUGGCAAGCGUUGUCCGGAUUUAUUGGGUUUAAAGGGUGCGUAGGCGGCUUUGUAAGUCAGUGGUGAAAUACUCCAGCUCAACUGGAGAGGUGCCAUAGAUACUGCAGAGCUAGAGUACUGAUGAGGUAGGCGGAAUGGACGGUGUAGCGGUGAAAUGCUUAGAUAUCGUCCAGAACACCGAUAGCGAAGGCAGCUUACUAAAGAGUAACUGACGCUGAGGCACGAAAGUGUGGGGAUCAAACAGGAUUAGAUACCCUGGUAGUCCACACUGUAAACGUUGAUCACUAGAUGUUGGCGAUACACUGCCAGCGUUCCAGCAAAAGCGAUAAGUGAUCCACCUGGGGAGUACGCCCGCAAGGGUG
rnacentral:rRNA from 1 species